GAGACAGGAGGGGGAGUUAGUGCCUGUCCCCAGCUUGCUGCGGCUCAGCGCUUGCCCCCAUCCACGGGGACAUUCCCUCGUGCUGCCCCUGACUACCAGCACCGGCUUUGACAUUGGAGAUGGGGGAAUUGGGGUUAAUCAUUACCCUCAGAAAGCAGAGACAAAGGUGACCUCCAGCUGGAGCUGCUUCAGCUCAGGUCCUCCUGGCACAGCUCUGGGACUGUCCUCACUGUCCACCCCCACCAAGCAGGAAGGUUUGGUGUUGCUCCUGUCCCAGAGCAGCACAUGGGACCUGCGCCUCACAUGGUACAAGGACUCUGCCCAGCGUCAGCCCCGUUGCCCAUCUCGCUGCAGGGACACGAGGGCAGGGGCUGAGCUGCGGGGCUGUGAGAACCGGGGCUGCGACAGACACCAAGGGGUUUUUCUCCCAGUCCUGUAUUUAUGCUGUCAAACUGUGCCUCUUCCUCACACAGCAGACUAAAUGUGAAUCUUGUUAAAUUAACAACAUCAAGGUUUUUCUACCCAAAACGUCCUAGAAAUCUGAAGCCCAAAUAAAUUCCUUCCCUCUGGCUGCCUCCUUCAGUUGUGGGCUGAUUUGUUAUUGCAGAGCGGCUUGGUCUGGGUCUGCCAGCAGAAGUGAUAUUUAAGUGAUUAAAGAGUAUCGAAACAAUCUCAGGGUGGAUUUUUAGAAGAACUAGGUCAAAUGUUGUGUUUUCUGACCACAGCAAUGUCUGGGCCCUUCUCAUGGAAAUGGCAGCCCUGUCCCUCUUGCCGGCAGCUGUGCUGGUGAUUUUACCUUCGGAUUUCUUUAACACUGGCAUCACCAGGCUCUAUUUUGUACCAAGUGCUUUGGCAAUGCAAAUGUUUAACUUCUAGCUGACCUUGAAUUGCAGAGAAGGCAGGAGUUAUUAGACGCUGGAAAGGUUGAUUCAACAACUUGCAAAAAUUAACCCUUAGUGAGCUAAAAAAUUAAAACCAUUCUGAUUGACUACCACUCCACUCCAAAAUGCUCUUGAGAAUGCUUUUUAGCUCAGAGCAAGUUAAAAAUUUAUCAUCCUUGCAUCCAGGGUAUGGUACAGACUGGAGGUGAUUACAAAACAAACUGGCCGGUGUGACUCCAAAGACGAGCAGAAGGAGCACAAGAGGUGCCUCCCCCACGGCAGCGACCUGAAGAUACCCCGGCCAAGGCGCUAAUGUGCAACUGCAUCAUGCCUUGUGAUCUGGCCUCUGACCCAUAAGGAAAGAUGUGCUCUUGUUUGAACGUGCAUAAGCUCCUCUGCACAUCUUCGUUAUCAGCCCUGCUUUCUCUGUUUGUAGAGGUUUAUACCUUGCGACUGUGAGUGCAAGGCAAAUCUGUCCUCGUGCAGGGCAGGGAGGAAUCCAGAGCAGCUUGGGCACUGGGAGGAAAGCAGCCAUUCCUAACGAUCCUACAACGUCUUGUCACUCCAGCAGUGCACUGGAGAACCAGUGCAUGGACCCAGUUAACUCGCAAGAUCCGGUUUAAUGUUUAAGCACAGCAAGGCAAUGAAGAUGGACUUCUCUCUGCUCAUGACUCUGAGGGACCAUGGCCUGAGAAGACAGCCAUCCAAGGAGGCUCUGAGUUCUUUACUCUCACCAUGUGUAGCCAGUUCUAGGCAUUUAACGCUUGUAGAGCAUCUUGAGUUAAUCUGUAGACCAACAAACUGCAGCAGCAUGAGCGGAGAUAUCCCCGCUGUGUUUAUCAUGUCAAACACAUGGCACAAAUCAUUUUGGUUUUGCUGCCUGCAACUUCCAAGUUGCUUUAUCGCAGGAACCUUUUGAUUUGGGAUCUGAAUUGAGACAGAUGAAAUAUUAAUAAGCAGAAAAGCAAAGAAAAUGAUAUGCAGAAAUCUAAGGCAGAACUGGAGGCUGACAGGCCGCUCGCGUGUUAGCUGCCUGCGGGCUGGUGUCCGGCUGCCUGCCCCAGCACGGGGAUGAGGAUGGGCCCGUGGGCCAGCGCGGCGUCCCCACGGCUCUCCUGCUGAUGUCGAAAGAAAAGUUAAAAUUUUAUCAAGAAGUUUCAGUUGGG